rnacentral:rRNA from 1 species
UCUAAAGGGAACUGCCGGUGUCAAACCGGAGGAAGGUGGGGAUGACGUCAAGUCCUCAUGGCCUUUAUGGCCAGGGCUACACACGUACUACAAUGGCCGGUACAAAGGGCAGCGACAUUGCGAGAUGGAGCGAAUCCCGAAAAGCCGGUCUCAGUCCGGAUUGGAGUCUGCAACUCGACUCCAUGAAGUUGGAAUCGCUAGUAAUCGUGGAUCAGCAUGCCACGGUCGAAUACGUUCCCGGGCCUU